rnacentral:rRNA from 1 species
GGUUCGAUCAUGGCUCAGAUUGAACGCUGGCGGGGAUGCUUUACACAUGCAAGUCGAACGGCGGCACGGACUUCGGUCUGGUGGCGAGAGUGGCGAACCGGGUGAGUAAUGUAUCGGAACGUGCCUAGUAGCGGGGAUAACUACGCGAAAGCGUAGCUAAUACCGCAUACGCCCUUCGAGGAAAGCGGGGGACCUUCCGGGCCUCGCACUAUUAGAGCGGCCGAUAUCGGAUUAGCUAGUUGGUGGGGUAACGGCUCACCAAGGCGACGAUCCGUAGCUGGUUUGAGAGGACGACCAGCCACACUGGGACUGAGACCUGGCAGACUCCUACGGGAGGCAGCAGUGGGGAAUUUUGGACAAUGGGGGAAACCCUGAUCCAGCCAUCCGCGUGUGCGAUGAAGGCCUUCGGGUUGUAAAAGCACUUUUGGCAGGAAAGAAACGGCACGGGAUAAUACCCCGUGCAACUGACACCUGCAGAAUAAGCACCGGCUAACUACGUGCCAGCAGCCGCGGUAAUACGUCAGGUGCAAGCGUUAGUAGGAAUUACUGGGCGUAAAGCGUGCGCAGGCGGUUCGGAAGAAAGAUGUGAAAUCCAGAGCUUAACUUUGGAACUGCAUUUUUAACUACCGAGCUAGAGUGUGUCAGAGGGGUAGGUCAACGUGGCAGUGAAAUGCAUAGAUAUGCGGAGGAACACCGAUGGCGAAGGCAGCCUCUGGGAUAACGACGCUCAUGCACGAAAGCGUGGGAGCAAACAGGAUUAGAUACCCUGGUAGUCCACGCCCUAAACGAUGUCAACUAGCUGUUGGGGCCUUCGGGCCUUGGUAGUAGCAACAUUGAAGUUAAGGCCGCCUGGGAAAUACGGUCAUAGGAAUUAAACUCAAAGGAAUUGACGGGACUUACACAAGCGGUGGAUGAUGUGGAUUAAUUCGAUGCAACAUGAAAAACCUUACCUACCCUUGGCAUGUCUGGAAUCCCGAGAGACCCGGGUGCUCGCAAGAGAACCGGAACACAGGUGCUGCAAGCUGUCGUCAGCUCGUGUCGUGAGAUGUUGGGUUAAGUCCCGCAACGAGCGCAACCCUUGUCAUUAGUUGCUACGAAAGGGCACUCUAAUGAGACUGCCGGUGACAAGCCGGAGGAAGGUGGGGAUGACGUCAAGUCCUCAUGGCCCUUAUGGUGGGGCUUUACGCGUCAUACAAUGGUCGAGACAGAGGGGUCGCCAACCCGCGAGGGCAAUCCCGAAGCCAGAUCGCCGUCCGGAUGCGGUCUGCAACUCGACUGCGUGAAGUCAGGCUCGCUGACCAAUCGCAGAUCCGCGCCUUACAGGUGAAUCGUUCCCAGGUCUUGUACACACCGCCCGUCACACCAUGGGAGUGGGUUUUACGAGUAGUUAGCCUAACCAUGGAGAGGCGAUUACCACGGUAGGAUUCAUGACUGAGGUGAAGUCGUAACAAGGUAG